GAUGAACGCUAGCGGCAGGCUUAAUACAUGCAAGUCAAGGGGGUAGCAAUACAACCGGCGCACGGGUGAGUAACGCGUACACAACAUACCAUAUACUGGAGUAUAGCUUUGGGAAACUGAAGGUAAUCCUCCAUAACGGAUUGCGAGAGGGCAUCUGAUUGCAAUUAAAGUUUCGGCGGUAUAUGAUUGGUGUGCGUUUGAUUAGCUAGUUGGUAGGGUAACGGCCUACCAAGGCGGCGAUCAAUAGCUGGCGUGAGAGCGCGACCAGCCACACUGGAACUGAGACACGGUCCAGACUCCUACGGGAGGCAGCAGUGGGGAAUUUUGGACAAUGGGGGCGAACCCUGAUCCAGCCAUGCCGCGUGAGUGAAGAAGGCUGUGUA
rnacentral:rRNA from 1 species